rnacentral:rRNA from 1 species
UACGUAGGGGGCGAGCGUUGUCCGGAUUUAUUGGGCGUAAAGAGCUCGUAGGCGGUUUGGGAAGUUGGAUGUGAAAUCUCCGGGCUUAACCCGGAAAGGUCAGCCGAUACUGCGGGGCUAGAGUGCAGAAGGGGCAACUGGAAUUCUCGGUGUAGCGGUGAAAUGCGUAGAUAUCGAGAGGAACACCUGCGGCGAAGACGGGUUGCUGGGCUGACACUGACGCUGAGGCGCGAAAGCCAGGGGAGCAAACGGG